rnacentral:pre_miRNA from 1 species
AAUCUUGCAAAAACAUUUCUGCACAAACUAGAUUAUGGAUACCAGUGUGCCAAAAAUAUUUCUGCUGCAUC